AAUCACAGGUAGAACUACAAGUAUGGGCUCACUAAAGCUUUAUAAAAUAUUUAUGUUUUAUUUAUAUGUUCAUUUGUUUACUUCCCCCAAUAUAUAAAUGAACUAACUACAAUAUAAGUUAUUAUCUCCCAUAAACUGCUAACAGUCUUAGCUUAUUAAUUCCAUACAUAAAUAAAACAAUCAAAGGCAGUGUAGUAUGAUGUCAAGUGCCGUGAACUCAAUCAGGAACUUAGUUUUCAGUGAAAUCUGCAUAUAAAUGGGAUCAGUAGAUAUAUAAUAGCUUACUUCUUAGGUUAAUGCUAUACAGUACACUCAAUCCAGUGUUUUCCUAAGUGCUUUUAACGUCAAGGCCAUGUAAGAGACAAAGCAGAAUUUUUUAUAAAUUACUUAGUUUACAUAGCAUGGUCCAAUCAACUUGUAAAACGUUUCACACUCAUGAAAUAUAUAAAUGCUAUCAUAUUAAACAGGCCAUAGCAUGACGCUAACCACACUUUGUUUUGGUAAAACAAUUGACUACGACAGUUUACACAUAGGUCUCCAUGUCUUAUAACACGUAACACAGUUACCAUGGUAGCCACUAAACGGAGUUGAGAGGAGUGCCUGAUUACAGGCAGUUAUUUUUAGGCACUGGCACAAGUCCUAUCAAGAUGAUGAUUAAUUGAAAAAACAUUUCUGUUAAAUUUUGUAUAUUACACACACAUGUGCGCACACACACUCUCUCACACAGAGCAGCUAUGGAUAUCAUAGAAAUUGAAAAAUACACGAGGAGAGGGUACACAGAUGCCACAGGGCAGUAAAAGCCUGAUUAAACAGAAGCCACAAGAUAGAAGGAAGAUAGAUACAAACACAGAGGGAAGCGGAGACAGAAAAGCUUAGUGUCCAGAAUGGCAGGAUUCUAUAGAGACUGUUGGGCCAUUAGAGCUGCUGUAAGUGUCCAGAGUAAGAUUCCACUAUUCUCUGACCAGAUGACUUAAGUGCUGAGAUAAGAAGUGUCCCUAAGUAAUUGAUAAACCAACCCAUAUCAUCACAGAUCACCUUAAGAUGCAGCUGUUCCUUGAAAUCCAAGAGCAUUUAACUAUUAAACCAUGAGUUAUACAACUAAUGAGGAUAAUAGAAUCAGAAAAUAAGUCCCAGAAGUUCCCUAAUGGAGGUGAAGAAACACAUGAAUAUAUCCGAUUUCCUUUUAUUUGAAAUAGAUGCAUCUCUAUGCUAAAAUUCAACAAAAGCCCAUUUUCAAUACUGAUGUUUAAAUAUGAGACUGCACUUAUAGACUCAAAUUGGAAAUGCAGGGGGCCCCAUACGGUGGAUUUGACCCUCAAUUAAACUUUAUUUGACAUAGGAACAAACAAGUACAGAAAAUAUGCUUCUAUUUGCAGAAUUGCAGUUUAAAAACAUGAAUUAUAUUCUAAAAGUUCACAAAAUCAUAAAUACAAAGGCAUGUUCCUCAAUUUUUGUUUUAUUCUGUUUUUUAAUAAAAAGCCUCAGUACACAGAUGAUGUUUCUGUGCUACUUUUGGUGCACAUGUUUUGAUUUCUGUCUGCACGCCUUUUGAGAUUCUGUCCCAUUCUAUAUUUAUAAUUCUCUUAUUCUCAUUAUUGCCAAAUUGAAUUUUAACUAUUUUUCUCAAUCUCCAGAUUAAUGUACUUUUAAAUUUUUUUCUCCUCUUUCUUUUUUUAAUCUUUAUCUCUUCAAUGGCCUUUUUUUUUUUUUUAACAGAGAACACACAAAGAGGGAUGCUAAAUAGAAUGUUAUAUGUCAUUCUUAAAAGUUCACAUAGUAAAAAGUAGUAGCAUUGAUAUUUUAUUGUAUUGAAGGGGAAACUUAGAACUCACUUCCCCAUGUACAGAAUGAUCCACAUAUAUAUUCAACUUGAGGUCUUAAAGCAAAGGUAGCAGAAGACUUUAUAUAACAGUGAUUGCUUUGCUUUUGAAAUAUAAUAAGCAGCAAAGAGGAUGUAAUGAUGGUCUUUUUUACUUUUGGAACACCUUUAAUACUGUAGAAAUAAUUUUAUGUUUCCUUUGUCACCUCACAAAUAUUAUUAAUACAGGAUAUCACUGUCUUAAAAUUAGGAAAUGAGUGCUGUGAAGUCACUGAGAAAAUGAAUGAAUGAGCUAGGAAUAACAUAACACCUUGUAUUUCUUUCCUUCCUCUCUCCCUUCCUUCCUUUAUGCCUACUAAUACAAUUUUUUUCUUAAUUUCCAGGAGUAGCAGUGAUUUUGCUACAAGAAAAUUGAAUCCAGAAUGAGAGAUGAUUGCUCUAAUUUAGUUCUUUAUUAUGCUUUAUCAAAAAGUAGCACUUUUCUUUGUGUAACAGAAAUUAACUGAUUACAAUGAUAACAAUACUUUGUAUGCAUUUAUUUGAAAAAUGUCUCUUGAUUGACUUCUAUGAAGUGUUGGUUUUAGUUCUGACUCAAAAUCAUACAUGAAAGAUGCUAUUGUCUAACCCACAUUCUAGUACAAUCAUCUUUGAGGCUAAUACUAAGAAAAAAAAGAAACUAAUUUUUAUGGAAUUCCUAAUACAUGCCAGACAUUUUCUCAAAGUGAUUUACUAAUUAAUCUACUCAUUCAUACUGUGAUAAAUGUACUCUUUUUCUCACUUUUCAAUUUCGUAAGUUAGAGAUUAAGUUGUUCUCACCAGUCUGGGGGAAUCUUCCAAGUUAGUGUCCGCAGGAGUAUGGACUACAGUACUGUGUCUUCCUACAAAACAUAGAAUGUAUAAAUGAAUUUUAAUUGGUAAGUGUUCCAUGCCUACUCUGCCAACUUUCAAUUGUAGAAAGGCAGUUUAGAACUGGGACUUUGACAAUUGCAUUAUUUGGGACACAGAGGAAGCAUGGAUUGGAAUGUUUUUCAUGUUUACCAAAACCAUCUGAAGAUUUAAAAGUUAUCUCAAAAAGAAAAGGUUUGUUUUUGUUUUUAGUACAUUAAAGCAAUUUAUCAAACCUCUAUUAUUUUUUCUACUUUCUAAUUUAUAAAUGUUCUUAAAUCACUGGCUAGAUAUGAGCUAAUAUGAACAUCUUUCCUUUACAUUAUUAAGUUUAGGCCAAUCUACUUGACAAUGGCCUUUACCAUUCACUCAAGUCAGAGCUCAUGAAUUGAUAAUAUUUGUAGCAUUUGCUAGCAAACAUAAAAAAAAAAUGACUGACUGGUCAUAAACUUUAUUGUAAAUCAAAGUCAAUAUUUUUAUGUCCUUGGAUAAAUAUGUCACACAAGUUUUUGUAAGAACUUUGUAUAGUUGACUCAAAUUCUUGUAAUUUUUUUUCUUUAACCAGAUUAAUUUGUAUAAGUAAGCACUAUGCUUCCAAAGUUUUUUUUUUUAAUUUUUUGAUGCCAGUUAUUUUACACAACUAUUUAUAGAACAAUUUGGAAUAAUCAAAUCAAAACCAGAGAGGACGCUUCAGAUGUAUUUCAUUUCCCUCUGAUUCCCAAUUGAAACAUGAUGUUUUAAGGAAGCAGCCAAGAGAGGCACAUGUUCUUUUGAGUUGCUGACUUGAAAACUGAUCUUAAGAAUAGACUAAGAAUUUAGUAAACUGGUAAAGAAAGAAGGACAUGUGUGAGAGAUGAGAUUCUCAUUUUCUUGCCUUCUUAUAUGGCUGUUUUUUAGUAUCUCUUAGACGUGGACGAUCUUGAUGAAUGAUUCAUCAGUAUCAUCUGAAUCUAUAGUCAGGUGUACACAUUCAUUUAAUCUGUCAGUUUGAAAUAUUCAGAGAACGAAGUAUUUAAAAGAAGCAGUGUACCAUUGUUAAAGGUUGAUUCUUUUAACAACAUGUAAAUUGUUAUUAAGCAGCUUUUUUUCUGGUACUGUCAAAGAGACACAGGGGAGGUGAUUGUGUCUGGAAAGUCCAAGAUCAUAGUGCUCAAGGAUUCAGUGUCUGGUGAAGAGCCUCUUCGGACCUGGAGACUUCUGACAUCUCUCCAUGCCCUCUCUGUGGAAGGGUGGUUGAUGAAGCCAGUCACUGAGAUAAGGAACACUAGAAGCUAAGGGAUGAAUGGAAAGUGGCUAGUCUGAAUGCUGGAUAUUUUCCACUGCACCUCAGAUCAACAUAUUUCCUUUCUGUUCUUCCUGGGCAAGAUGCUUUCCAUGGAUUUUACAGACUGGAUUUCCCUGCCCUAUGGCUCCUGGUUGAGUAAUGCCAGCAGGAGAUCUAAGUGCAAGAAGAGUGGGAGCCAACCUGGGAGUUGUGGCCUGUCACAGCUUUGGUGACUCUGGGUGUUUAACCCACUGAGCCGCUGCAGAAACACCAUAGAUCCUGUUGUGCCACGGCAGGAACUCCUUGACUAAACUUUUAAAAUCAAAGAUAUAUGUCUUUCUUCACUUAGCCACUCUCUUCCCAAAAGAUCAAUGGAAUUCUUUACUAGACAAGGGGAAAUGAUUUUUGAAACCAACUUUCUGCUUCGUUAUUUCCCCUUCAAGUCCUUUUAUGCUUGGAAUUAAGAAAAGUAAAAGUUCUCAUUAGAAAUCUUAGUUCAAAUAAGACAUGGGCUUGAAAUUUUUGAAGAUUUUCAGGGAAGUAAAAAGUUCUCAAGGCACAAGAGCCAACUCUGUUCUUUUGAAAAUUAAGCAUAAUUACUUCACUUGGAGGAUUAUUUCACAAUUCAGUAGAUUCACUUCCAGGAAAAUUGUCUUGGUGUUAAGCCUAGUUUGGUUUUCUUUUUCUUCUUUAUACUAGACUUACUUACAGUAGCUCUCUUUUAUUUUGUGAGGCACCCUACAGGGAAUGAGAAUACUUUGCAAAUUAAACACUAUUUGAAUAAAGUCUGCAUGGAAAUAAAGGCCUUUAUACA
rnacentral:lncRNA from 1 species